UACAGAGACUGCAAGCGUUAUUCGGAUUCACUGGGCGUAAAGGGUGCGCAGGCGGUCGGGUGUGUCAGAUGUGAAAUCCCGAGGCUCAACCUCGGAACUGCGUCUGAAACUACUCGACUAGAGUACUGGAGAGGGUAACGGAAUUCACGGUGUAGCAGUGAAAUGCGUAGAUAUCGUGAGGAACACCAGUGGCGAAGGCGACUACCUGGCCUGUUCUUGACGCUGAGGCGCGAAAGCUAGGGGAGCAAACGGG
rnacentral:rRNA from 1 species